rnacentral:rRNA from 1 species
GCAAAACGCGAAGAACCUUACCUACUCUUGACAUCUACAGAAGACUGCAGAGAUGCGGUUGUGCCUUCGGGAACUGUAAGACAGGUGCUGCAUGGCUGUCGUCAGCUCGUGUUGUGAAAUGUUGGGUUAAGUCCCGCAACGAGCUCAACCCUUUCCUUAUUUGCCAGCGGGUUAAGCCGGGAACUUUAAGGAUACUGCCAGUGACAAACUGGAGGAAGGCGGGGACGACGUCAAGUCAUCAUGGCCCUUACGACCAGGGCUACACACGUGCUACAAUGGCGCGUACAAAGGGAAGCGAACUCGCAAGGGGAAGCAAAUCUCAAAAAGCGCGCCUCAGUUCGGAUUGGAGUCUGCAACUCGACUCCAUGAAGUUGGAAUCGCUAGUAAUCGGAGAUCAGCACGCUCCGGUGAAUACG